rnacentral:rRNA from 1 species
AUAGCCAUGCAUGUCUCAGUACAUGCCGAAUUAAGGUGAAACCGCGAAUGGCUCAUUAAAUCAGUUAUGGUUCAUUAGAUCGUGGACACAUUUACUUGGAUAACUGUGGUAAUUCUAGAGCUAAUACAUGCAAACAGAAUUCCUCUCAGAGAUGGGAGGAAUGCUUUUAUUAGAUCAAAACCAAUCGGUGGCGGACGGCUCGUCCGUUCGUCCAUCGUUUGUUUUGGUGACUCUGAAUAACUUUGUGCUGAUCGCAUGGUCAUCUAGCACCGGCGACGCAUCUUUCAAAUGUCUGCCUUAUCAACUGUCGAUGGUAGGUUCUGCGCCUACCAUGGUUGUAACGGGUAACGGGGAAUCAGGGUUCGAUUCCGGAGAGGGAGCCUGAGAAACAGCUACCACAUCCAAGGAAGGCAGCAGGCGCGCAAAUUACCCACUCCCGGCACGGGGAGGUAGUGACGAAAAAUAACGAUACGGGACUCAUCCGAGGCCCCGUAAUCGGAAUGAGUACACUUUAAAUCCUUUAACGAGGACCAAUUGGAGGGCAAGUCUGGUGCCAGCAGCCGCGGUAAUUCCAGCUCCAAUAGCGUAUAUUAAAGUUGUUGCGGUUAAAAAGCUCGUAGUUGAAUCUGUGUGUCACAGUGUCGGUUCACCGCUCGCGGUGUUUAACUGGCAUUAUGUGGUACGUCCUAUCGGUGGGCUUAGCUCCUUGCGGGCGGUCCAACUAAUAUCCCAUCGCGGUGCUCUUCACUGAGUGUCGAGGUGGGCCGAUACGUUUACUUUGAAAAAAUUAGAGUGCUUAAAGCAGGCUACCUUUGCCUGAAUACUGUGUGCAUGGAAUAAUGGAAUAGGACCUCGGUUCUAUUUUGUUGGUUUUCGGAACCCCGAGGUAAUGAUUAAUAGGGACAGAUGGGGGCAUUCGUAUUGCGACGUUAGAGGUGAAAUUCUUGGAUCGUCGCAAGACGGACAGAAGCGAAAGCAUUUGCCAAAAAUGUUUUCAUUAAUCAAGAACGAAAGUUAGAGGU